CACACGGCACAAGAGAGUAAGACUUAGAGAUAUUUACUGGGUAGCAUUUGAGUAGUACAAGAUAGUACAGAACAG